UGCUCAAUGAUUUUUUAAAUUGCUGUAGUAUUUUGACUAUACAAAGGUAUUGAAAUAAGAUUUUAAUUGAAUGCUAAGAGAAUGGAAGUCCAGAAAAAAACUUUUUUUAAAUUAAAAAUUGAAGUUUUUUUAAUUUGUGCAGAAACAAUUAUUUAUAUUAAAGACAAGAAGACCCUAUGAAUUUAUUAAAUUUUUAUUUAAUAUGUAAUUACUAUUAGAAAAAUUUUGGCUGGGGCGGCUAGAAAAUAUUAUGAACUUUUUAAAAAUAAAAUGAUCCAUUAUUAAUGAUUUUAUGUUAAAUACUCUAGGGACAA
rnacentral:rRNA from 1 species